UUUAAUUCGAAGCAACGCGAAGUAACCUUUACCAGGUUCUUGACAUCCCGAUGCUUAUUUCUAGAGAUAGAAAGUUACUUCGGUACAUCGGUGACAGGUGGUGCAUGGUUGUCGUCAGCUCGUGUCGUGAGAUGUUGGGUUAAGUCCCGCAACGAGCGCAACCCCUAUUGUUAGUUGCCAUCAUUCAGUUGGGCACUCUAGCGAGACUGCCGGUAAUAAACCGGAGGAAGGUGGGAUGACGUCAAAUCAUCAUGCCCCUUAUGACCUGGGCUACACACGUGCUACAAUGGUUGGUACAACGAGUUGCGAGUCGGUGACGGCGAGCUAAUCUCUUAAAGCCAAUCUCAGUUCGGAUUGUAGGCUGCAACUCGCCUACAUGAAGUCGGAAUCGCUAGUAAUCGCGGAUCAGCACGCCGCGGUGAAUACGUUCCCGGGCCUU
rnacentral:rRNA from 1 species